UACGAGGGAUGCAAGCGUUAUCCGGAAUUAUUGGGCGUAAAGCGUUUGUAGGCGGGCGAGUGUGUUUAAUGUUAAAUCUUAAAGCUCAACUUUGAAAUUGCGUUAAAAACUGCUUGUCUUGAGUAUGGUAGGGGUAAAGGGAAUUCCCAGUGUAGCGGUGAAAUGCGUAGAUAUUGGGAAGAACACUAAACAGCGAAGGCACUUUACUAGGAUAAUACUGACGCUGAGAAACGAAAGGUAAGGUAGCGAAACGGAUUAGAUACCCGUGUAGUCUUACCCGUAAACUAUGGACACUAAACGGUAAAUUUUUAAUUUACUGUUAAAGCUAACGCGUUAAGUGUCCCGCCUGGGGAGUAUGCUUGCAAAAGUGAAACUCAAAGGAAUUGACGGGGGCCCGCACAAGCGGUGGAGCAUGUGGUUUAAUUCGACGGUACACGAAGAACCUUACCAGGAUUUGACAUGCUAGAUAGUUGCUUGAAAGAGUAACGUGCCGUAAGGAAUCUAGACACAGGUGGUGCAUGGCUGUCGUCAGUUCGUGUUGUGAAAUGUUGGGUUAAGUCCCGCAACGAACGCAACCCUUGUCUUUAGUUAUUUUCUAAAGAGACUGCCUGUAAUAAACAGGAGGAAGGUAAGGAUGAGGUCAAGUCAUCAUGCCCCUUAUGUCCUGGGCUACACACGUGCUACAAUGGGAAAGACAAUGAGCUGCAAAUCUGUAAAUUUAAGCAAAUCUCUUAAACUUUCUCGUAGUUCGGAUUGUGGGCUGCAACUCGCCCACAUGAAGUUGGAAUCGCUAGUAAUCGCCAGUCAGCUAUAUGGCGGUGAAUCCGUUCCCGGGCCU
rnacentral:rRNA from 1 species